CUGGCAGUAUGAGUGGCAUAACAACAGGAAGUUAGUCUACUCUAACAAAAAGCCAGAGUACAGAAUCAGUCCUGUGUACACGUCUAACAGUAGUUCAUAUACCUGUGAGGGUGUGAAGGGAAUCAAGCGCUCUGAAACCAGUGAUGCUGUACAUUUGACAAUUUCUGCUCUGCCCAAAGCCACAGUGAGAAUCUCUCCUCAGGGUCCCCUCUACUCUGGAGAGACAGUCACUCUGCAGUGUGACAUACCAGACUAAACAGACUGGACGUACAACUGGUCCAGAAACAACCAAAAGCUUUCCAGUCCACAUGGUAAAACCAUCACCAUCUCUCUCCCUGACCAGGAUGGUCAGUACCAGUGUCUGGGGACCAGGAGAGAUCGGCCCCAGCAUUCUCAACUCAGUGGAACCGCCCUCAUCAGAUCAACUGCCCUGCCCAAAGCUGAACUGACUGUAGAUCCAAACACUGUGUUCCCUGGAGAGACAGUUACUCUGACGUGUUCAGUAGAGUCUGACAGUAUCUGGAACUAUCAGUGGUACAAAGACAGGAAUGAUAAUGUAGUAUCCCAGUCUGUCAGACACACUAUAACAGGAGACACCCUCACCAUCAGUAGAGCUGCUGAGUCUGACCAGGGUCUCUACUG